rnacentral:rRNA from 1 species
UGCAGUCGAGCGGUAGAGAGAAGCUUGCUUCUCUUGAGAGCGGCGGACGGGUGAGUAAUGCCUAGGAAUCUGCCUGGUAGUGGGGGAUAACGUUCGGAAACGGACGCUAAUACCGCAUACGUCCUACGGGAGAAAGCAGGGGACCUUCGGGCCUUGCGCUAUCAGAUGAGCCUAGGUCGGAUUAGCUAGUUGGUGAGGUAAUGGCUCACCAAGGCGACGAUCCGUAACUGGUCUGAGAGGAUGAUCAGUCACACUGGAACUGAGACACGGUCCAGACUCCUACGGGAGGCAGCAGUGGGGAAUAUUGGACAAUGGGCGAAAGCCUGAUCCAGCCAUGCCGCGUGUGUGAAGAAGGUCUUCGGAUUGUAAAGCACUUUAAGUUGGGAGGAAGGGUUGUAGAUUAAUACUCUGCAAUUUUGACGUUACCGACAGAAUAAGCACCGGCUAACUCUGUGCCAGCAGCCGCGGUAAUACAGAGGGUGCAAGCGUUAAUCGGAAUUACUGGGCGUAAAGCGCGCGUAGGUGGUUUGUUAAGUUGGAUGUGAAAUCCCCGGGCUCAACCUGGGAACUGCAUUCAAAACUGACUGACUAGAGUAUGGUAGAGGGUGGUGGAAUUUCCUGUGUAGCGGUGAAAUGCGUAGAUAUAGGAAGGAACACCAGUGGCGAAGGCGACCACCUGGACUAAUACUGACACUGAGGUGCGAAAGCGUGGGGAGCAAACAGGAUUAGAUACCCUGGUAGUCCACGCCGUAAACGAUGUCAACUAGCCGUUGGAAGCCUUGAGCUUUUAGUGGCGCAGCUAACGCAUUAAGUUGACCGCCUGGGGAGUACGGCCGCAAGGUUAAACUCAAGGAAAUG